rnacentral:rRNA from 1 species
CUGAUUAGCUUGUUGGCGGGGUAACGGCCCACCAAGGCAACGAUCAGUAGGGGUUCUGAGAGGAAGGUCCCCCACAUUGGAACUGAGACACGGUCCAAACUCCUACGGGAGGCAGCAGUGAGGAAUAUUGGUCAAUGGGCGAGAGCCUGAACCAGCCAAGUAGCGUGCAGGAAGACGGCCCUAUGGGUUGUAAACUGCUUUUAUAAGGGAAUAAAGUGAGUCUCGUGAGACUUUUUGCAUGUACCUUAUGAAUAAGGACCGGCUAAUUCCGUGCCAGCAGCCGCGGUAAUACGGAAGGUCCGGGCGUUAUCCGGAUUUAUUGGGUUUAAAGGGAGCGUAGGCCGGAGAUUAAGCGUGUUGUGAAAUGUAGACGCUCAACGUCUGCACUGCAGCGCGAACUGGUUUCCUUGAGUACGCACAAAGUGGGCGGAAUUCGUGGUGUAGCGGUGAAAUGCUUAGAUAUCACGAAGAACUCCGAUUGCGAAGGCAGCUCACUGGAGCGCAACUGACGCUGAAGCUCGAAAGUGCGGGUAUCGAACAGGAUUAGAUACCCUGGUAGUCCGCACGGUAAACGAUGGAUGCCCGCUGUUGGUCUGAACAGGUCAGCGGCCAAGCGAAAGCAUUAAGCAUCCCACCUGGGGAGUACGCCGGCAACGGUGAAACUCAAAGGAAUUGACGGGGGCCCGCACAAGCGGAGGAACAUGUGGUUUAAUUCGAUGAUACGCGAGGAACCUUACCCGGGCUUGAAUUGCAGAGGAAGGAUUUGGAGACAAUGACGCCCUUCGGGGUCUCUGUGAAGGUGCUGCAUGGUUGUCGUCAGCUCGUGCCGUGAGGUGUCGGCUUAAGUGCCAUAACGAGCGCAACCCCUCUCCUUAGUUGCCAUCAGGUUAAGCUGGGCACUCUGGGGACACUGCCACCGUAAGGUGUGAGGAAGGUGGGGAUGACGUCAAAUCAGCACGGCCCUUACGUCCGGGGCUACACACGUGUUACAAUGGCAGGUACAGAGAGACGGUCCCUUGCAAAACGGAUCAAAUCCUUAAAGCCUGUCUCAGUUCGGACUGGGGUCUGCAACCCGACCCCACGAAGCUGGAUUCGCUAGUAAUCGCGCAUCAGCCAUGGCGCGGUGAAUACGUUCCCGGGCCUUGUACACACCGCCCGUCAAGCCAUGAAAGCCGGGGGCGCCUAAAGUCCGUGACCGUAAGGAGCGGCCUAGGGCGAAACUGGUAAUUGGGGCUAAGUCGUAACAAGGUA